rnacentral:lncRNA from 1 species
GUUCUCUUGGCAGCGUCUCAGGCUGUCUGGACCAGCUGUCACAGUCUCGCUGUGGGUGAGUCACCUGAGGCACUGUAUGGCGGAUAGAAGGAUUCAUUGCCCUGGGAGGUUUUGCCUGGCAUUCUGCAGAAGCAUUGCUGUAUCUUACCAGACAGGAAUACAGAGUCGCAGUGCACGCUCUGCGGGGAGCCGGAAGACUUUGAUCCAAUGACAUUAAAGCAGAUGAGCCACCCAAAACUAAUAUACAGUGUCUACUGCAGAAGACGUGUGCUCUUCACCAGUCUGUGGACCAGGAAACGA